GACGAACGCUGGCGGCGUGCUUAACAUAUGCAAGUCGAACGAAGUGGUGAACGGGUGAGUAACGCGGAAUCAACCUGCCCUUCAGAGGGGGACCACAGUUGGAAACGACUGCUAAUACCGCAUACUGAAGGAGGGGAUUGCGCCUGAUUAGCUAGUUGGAGGGGUAACGACCCACCAAGGCGAUGAUCAGUAGCCAGUCGGAAGGUAUGCACGGCCACAUUGGAACUGGGACACGGCCCAGACUCCUACAGGAGGCAGCAGUGGGAAAUCUACCGCAAUAGACGAAAGUCUGACGAGGCAACGCAGCGUGAGUGAUGACGGCCUUCGGGUUGGAAAGCUCUGUUAAUCGGGACGCGGUACCGGGAUGGAAGGCCACGGCUAACUACGUGCCAGCCACCGCGGUAAUUC
rnacentral:rRNA from 1 species